rnacentral:rRNA from 1 species
UAAGGAAUAUUGCUCAAUGAGAGAAAUCCUGAAGCAGCAACGCCGCGUGGAGGAUGAAGGGUCUAUGACUUGUAAACUCCUGUAAAGAAGGAAAAAAUUCCCAUUAGAUGGGAGAUGAUGGAACUUCUGGAGUAAGCCCCGGCUAACUACGUGCCAGCAGCCGCGGUAAUACGUAGGGGGCAAGCGUUGUCCGGAUUUACUGGGUGUAAAGGGUGCUCAGGCGGAUUUGUAAGUCAGAGGUGAAAUCUUACAGCUUAACUGUGAAACUGCCUUUGAUACUGCAAGCCUAGAGUAUGGAAGAGAGUGAUGGAAUAUCUGGUGUAGCAGUGAAAUGCGUAGAUAUCAGAUAGAACACCAAUGGCGAAGGCAGUCACUUGGUCCAUUACUGACGCUAAAGCACGAAAGCGUGGGUAGCAAACA